rfam:Gossypium arboreum cultivar AKA8401 contig_23735_3, whole genome shotgun sequence.
AACCCAUGAUAAGGGCACCUUAUCAAUAGAUCUUUACAUCUCUCCCAUGCAUCAUAUAAUGUCUUCCAGUCAAUUUAAGCAAAAGAAGAUAUGUCAUUCCUCAACUU